GACGAACGCUGGCGGCGUGCUUAACACAUGCAAGUCGAACGGUGAAGCGCCUUCCUUUUUGGUGGGUGUGGAUGAGUGGCGAACGGGUGAGUAACACGUGAGUAACCUGCCCCCUUCUUCUGGAUAACCGCAUGAAAGUGUGGCUAAUACGGGAUAUUCUGGGUCUGUCGCAUGAUGGGUCUGGGAAAGAUAUUGUUUCGGUGGGGGAUGGGCUCGCGGCCUAUCAGCUUGUUGGUGGGGUGAUGGCCUACCAAGGCGGUGACGGGUAGCCGGCCUGAGAGGGUGGGCGGUCACACUGGGACUGAGACACGGCCCAGACUCCUACGGGAGGCAGCAGGGGGGAAUAUUGCACAAUGGGCGCAAGCCUGAUGCAGCGCCGCCGCGGGAGGGAUGGAGGCCUUCGGGUUGUGAACCUCUUUCGCCAGUGAAGCAGGCCUGCCUCGUUUGUGGGUGGGUUGACGGUAGCUGGAUAAGAAGCGCCGGCUAACUACGUG
rnacentral:rRNA from 1 species